rnacentral:rRNA from 2 species
UAUGGUCAAGUGAAGAAGCGCAUACGGUGGAUGCCUUGGCAGUCAGAGGCGAUGAAAGACGUGGUAGCCUGCGAUAAGCUUCGGGGAGUCGGCAAACAGACUUUGAUCCGGAGAUCUCUGAAUGGGGGAACCCAGCCAUCAUAAGAUGGUUAUCUUGUACUGAAUACAUAGGUGCAAGAGGCGAACCAGGGGAACUGAAACAUCUAAGUACCCUGAGGAAAAGAAAUCAACCGAGAUUCCCUUAGUAGUGGCGAGCGAACGGGGACUAGCCCUUAAGUGGCUUUGAGAUUAGCGGAACGCUCUGGAAAGUGCGGCCAUAGUGGGUGAUAGCCCUGUACGCGAAAAUCUCUUAGUCAUGAAAUCGAGUAGGACGGGGCACGAGAAACCUUGUCUGAAUAUGGGGGGACCAUCCUCCAAGGCUAAAUACUACUGACUGACCGAUAGUGAACUAGUACCGUGAGGGAAAGGCGAAAAGAACCCCGGAGAGGGGAGUGAAAUAGAUCCUGAAACCGUAUGCGUACAAGCAGUGGGAGCAGACUUUGUUCUGUGACUGCGUACCUUUUGUAUAAUGGGUCAGCGACUUAUUUUCAGUGGCAAGCUUAACCGAAUAGGGGAGGCGUAGCGAAAGCGAGUCUUAAUAGGGCGUCUAGUCGCUGGGAAUAGACCCGAAACCGGGCGAUCUAUCCAUGGGCAGGUUGAAGGUUAGGUAACACUGACUGGAGGACCGAACCGACUACCGUUGAAAAGUUAGCGGAUGACCUGUGGAUCGGAGUGAAAGGCUAAUCAAGCUCGGAGAUAGCUGGUUCUCCUCGAAAGCUAUUUAGGUAGCGCCUCAUGUAUCACUGUAGGGGGUAGAGCACUGUUUCGGCUAGGGGGUCAUCCCGACUUACCAAACCGAUGCAAACUCCGAAUACCUACAAGUGCCGAGCAUGGGAGACACACGGCGGGUGCUAACGUCCGUCGUGAAAAGGGAAACAACCCAGACCGUCAGCUAAGGUCCCAAAGUUAUGGUUAAGUGGGAAACGAUGUGGGAAGGCUUAGACAGCUAGGAGGUUGGCUUAGAAGCAGCCACCCUUUAAAGAAAGCGUAAUAGCUCACUAGUCGAGUCGGCCUGCGCGGAAGAUGUAACGGGGCUCAAACCAUACACCGAAGCUACGGGUAUCACGUAAGUGAUGCGGUAGAGGAGCGUUCUGUAAGCCUGUGAAGGUGAGUUGAGAAGCUUGCUGGAGGUAUCAGAAGUGCGAAUGCUGACAUGAGUAACGACAAUGGGUGUGAAAAACACCCACGCCGAAAGACCAAGGUUUCCUGCGCAACGUUAAUCGACGCAGGGUUAGUCGGU